UGGGUUCUAGUUCAGUCUUUAGUAGUCUGU
rnacentral:piRNA from 1 species